rnacentral:snoRNA from 2 species
UUCUAAUGAUGAUACCUUUGUCCAGUUCUGCUACUGAAUGGAGAGCGAUGACAC